CAUAUCAAUAAGCGGAGGAAAAGAAACUAACAAAGGAUUUCCCCUAGUAACUGCGAGUGAAGCGGGAAAAGCUCAAAUUUAAAAUCUGGCAGCCUUUGGUUGUCCGAGUUGUAAUCUAGAGAAGUGUUAUCCGCGCUGGACCGUGUACAAGUCUCCUGGAAUGGAGCGUCAUAGAGGGUGAGAAUCCCGUCUUUGACACGGACUGCCAGGGCUUUGUGAUGCGCUCUCAAAGAGUCGAGUUGUUUGGGAAUGCAGCUCAAAAUGGGUGGUAAAUUCCAUCUAAAGCUAAAUAUUGGCGAGAGACCGAUAGCGAACAAGUACCGUGAGGGAAAGAUGAAAAGAACUUUGGAAAGAGAGUUAAACAGUACGUGAAAUUGCUGAAAGGGAAACGCUUGAAGUCAGUCGCGUUGUCCAGGGAUCAACCUUGCUUUUGCUUGGUGCAUUUUCUGGUUGACGGGUCAGCAUCAAUUUUGACCAUUGGAAAAAGAUUAGGGGAAUGUGGCAUCUUCGGAUGUGUUAUAGCCCUUGGUUGCAUACAAUGGUUGGGAUUGAGGAACUCAGCACGCCGCAAGGCCGGGUUUUUAACCACGUACGUGCUUAGGAUGCUGGCAUAAUGGCUUUAAUCGACCCGUCUUGAAACACGGACCAAGGAGUCUAACAUGCCUGCGAGUGUUUGGGUGGAAAACCCGAGCGCGUAAUGAAAGUGAAAGUUGAGAUCCCUGUCGUGGGGAGCAUCGACGCCCGGACCAGACCUUUUGUGACGGCUCCGCGGUAGAGCAUGUAUGUUGGGACCCGAAAGAUGGUGAACUAUGCCUGAAUAGGGUGAAGCCAGAGGAAACUCUGGUGGAGGCUCGUAGCGAUUCUGACGUGCAAAUCGAUCGUCAAAUUUGGGUAUAGGGGCGAAAGACUAAUUCGAACCAU
rnacentral:rRNA from 1 species